rnacentral:rRNA from 1 species
AGAGUUUGAUCCUGGCUCAGGAUGAACGCUAGCUACAGGCUUAACACAUGCAAGUCGAGGGGAAACGACAUCGAAAGCUUGCUUUUGAUGGGCGUCGACCGGCGCACGGGUGAGUAACGCGUAUCCAACCUGCCCAUCACUUGGGGAUAACCUUGCGAAAGUAAGACUAAUACCCAAUGACGUCUCUAGAAGACAUCUGAAAGAGAUUAAAGAUUUAUCGGUGAUGGAUGGGGAUGCGUCUGAUUAGCUUGUUGGCGGGGUAACGGCCCACCAAGGCGACGAUCAGUAGGGGUUCUGAGAGGAAGGUCCCCCACAUUGGAACUGAGACACGGUCCAAACUCCUACGGGAGGCAGCAGUGAGGAAUAUUGGUCAAUGGACGAGAGUCUGAACCAGCCAAGUAGCGUGCAGGAUGACGGCCCUAUGGGUUGUAAACUGCUUUUAUAAGGGAAUAAAGUGAGUCUCGUGAGACUUUUUGCAUGUACCUUAUGAAUAAGGACCGGCUAAUUCCGUGCCAGCAGCCGCGGUAAUACGGAAGGUCCGGGCGUUAUCCGGAUUUAUUGGGUUUAAAGGGAGCGUAGGCCGGAGAUUAAGCGUGUUGUGAAAUGUAGAUGCUCAACGUCUGCACUGCAGCGCGAACUGGUUUCCUUGAGUACGCACAAAGUGGGCGGAAUUCGUGGUGUAGCGGUGAAAUGCUUAGAUAUCACGAAGAACUCCGAUUGCGAAGGCAGCUCACUGGAGCGCAACUGACGCUGAAGCUCGAAAGUGCGGGUAUCGAACAGGAUUAGAUACCCUGGUAGUCCGCACGGUAAACGAUGGAUGCCCGCUGUUGGUCUGAAUAGGUCAGCGGCCAAGCGAAAGCAUUAAGCAUCCCACCUGGGGAGUACGCCGGCAACGGUGAAACUCAAAGGAAUUGACG